rnacentral:rRNA from 1 species
UACGUAGGGCGCAAGCGUUGUCCGGAAUUAUUGGGCGUAAAGAGCUCGUAGGCGGUUUGUCGCGUCUGCUGUGAAAACCUGAGGCUCAACCUCGGGCUUGCAGUGGGUACGGGCAGACUAGAGUGCGGUAGGGGUGACUGGAAUUCCUGGUGUAGCGGUGAAAUGCGCAGAUAUCAGGAGGAACACCGGUGGCGAAGGCGGGUCUCUGGGCCGAAACUGACGCUGAGGAGCGAAAGCGUGGGGAGCAAACAGG